GAGGGCUAUAGCUCAGUGGUUGAGAAUCUGCUUUGCUCACAGAAGGUCCCAGGUUCAGUCCCUGGCAUCUUCA